ensembl:lncRNA
CUCUAUUAACAGUAUGUCAGUUGAAACCAGAACACUGCCUCUCAUACUUUUAUAUGUGACACAGCUGGGACACAGCUAAAAUCCAGUAGACAGGAGAACUCUUGAUGUACCAGAUGGAAAACUUGGAGACAUAAUUAAGGAGUAAACAGUAUCCAGAAACUCAAAUCAGACCAAGUAACUUCUUAAGAGUUUUGGAAUACAAACAGGACUCAGUGGAACACGCACAUGAGAAGAGCACAGUAGCCUGGCAUUCAAAUAGAACAGUGAAGGGCAAGUUGGAUGAUGACCUGGGCAGACUGCAUGAAGGAAUCAGGUGCUGGAACUGGGUGCAGGUGUACUGGAACCAGGUGAUUUUCAAGGCCCUUCCAAUCCAGUUGAUGCUCAUUCACAGACUGCUCCAUCUUCACUUUUAAGACUUUAAAUGUAUGAGAAGCUGACUGACUUAGAUGACAGUAAGGUGCUGUUCUAUACAGAAUGGUCAUAGAAGCUCAAUGAGGAAACUAAUAUUAGAUUACAAAAUUUUGUCUUUUAAAAAUGAGAUGAAUGACACCUUCAUUUCAAACUUUCAAAACUGACAUUGUUAACUGAAUCAGUUACAGACAAGUGAGCAAUUACUACAGAGAAACAGUAGGAGUGAAUUUACCAUCCACACAGUGAAAAAAGGAAAAAUAUAAUAUACAUCAGUCUAUGUAUCUGCCCUGUAGGAUUUUUCUAAUAAACCUUUUUUUUUUUUUUUUUUUCCAGUUCUCUUAGAAAGUCAAGUCCUGAAAAUUCUAAAUGACUAAUAUGUUAAUAAAGUACAUCCUUCAUCUUUAAGGAUCUUUAUUUUACGUGCAAAUAAAAACUUUGCUCUGCUUUCUUUGAAUGCAAUUCGUACCCCUUUCCAAAAUGAAAAAUGACUGAACAGAACUCAAAAUUUUUAUAACAGUAUGCAAAUUAAAUAUUUUGGCUGUUUUCCAAUACCUUAAAAAUUACAUUUUGGAAGGAAUGCUUUUCCAAUGAAAGGAUUAUAAGUAAUUUUCAGUAAAAAAAAAAAAAAAAAAAAAAGGAAUCUUGGUGAGCUAGGGCAUUCACUGCAUGUAUACUGCAUUGACAGUUUUCAGUGAUUUCAGGUUUUCUUACAGAAAGUAUUUUCUACUAAAUUUUAUUUUUCUCCCUUUCAACAGCUUUUGAAAUACCAUUAUCAAUUUAGUAUUUUCUGGAUGAGAAAAAAUGUGUAAAAGGAAAAUAUAAUUCACAGUAUCUAGUUUCUCUCUAGAUUUUCAAGUUUUUGAUGCUGAAUUCCAGAAUAAAGGAAUAACUCAAGAACAGGAAGAACCAAAAAUAAUUUUAGCUUUGAAGAGUUUAAUUUACAGGAAAAGGAGGUUUUGAGUCAGACUCAUAUCUGAUGUUGUUUUAUAAAAAAUGUAUCCAUUCCAGAUUUUGCAAAACAUAUUCUCAUGUCAAAGUGCAUUCUUUAAUCUGCAUUUAUAAGUAAUGAUUUUGUUUAAUUAUACAGAGCAGGAGUUGUACAUUACCAUACUGAAUAUGUCAUUAGAAUAGUUUUUAUUCUAAGUUAUUUUUUAAUGGCAUUUGGUUGCUUAAGUGUAAAAAAUGAGAAUACAAAUAUAACACAUCCUUUUUUUCUACAUUAUCAUGAUGACUGCUAAAUUAAUAUAAAUAAUUAAUUUAUACAGAAAGUUAUCCAUAAGCAGCAUAUAAACAAUGCUGCCACUGAUGCUUAAUUGAAAAAGAGAGAUGCAAACAAUUCUUUGAUCUUUGCCAAAGAGAAGACUCAAGAAAACGGAUCCACUUCCUAUGACAGAAAGAAGUCAACCAAACAACGAAUCACAAAGAAGAGAGGGACCACAAGCAAAUUAAUAAACAAAAAAAACCAAGAGAUCAAAAUUAUUCUGGCACCUGUAAAAUCACUCUGGCAAGGGAUCUGAAUAUGAGUGCAGAAAGAAGCAAAACAGAAGAAAUCAGUAUCUUAUGAAACAUGAAAAAUAAGAAAGUUGAGAGUUGAAGGACUCCUAUGAAAAUAAUUCCUUGCUAUUAUUUAUUUGUUUUUCUAGAUUUUGUAUUACUUGCUCUUUGUAAAAAUUACAGUAGUAAACAUAGUAAGAAAUUAAUCAUUGUUAGGGCAAUAUUUAUAUAAAUUUGACAGAGUAGCUUAGGUAAAGACCAGAAUAUAUUUUACUGAGAUUAAGUACUAAUACGAUAAUUGUAGUUUUUAGGCACUUCAGGAAGUUUAAAGUUCUAGCUGGAGGAUGAUUAAUUCAGCCCCUAGCUAACAAGGUACAGUUUCCUUAGUGUCUCUGAACAUCAUAGUCCAGCAGAGGUGAGAACAAAAGUAGAUUCAAUUUCAAAGCCACUUUAUGAGAAGUGACUUCUACUUAAAAAUAUCUUGGUAAACUGAGAGGUUAUUACAUAAAUCCUCACUAUGCCAGUGUCUUGUACUUGGAAGACUAGAACCACAUAAACUUCCUUCACACAUAUUCAGUAAGGCAGCAUGCUACAGGAGAAAAAAAAUCUGAUUUGGUAUCAAUCUUCAGCUUCCAUUCUUUCAGCUUCAGGUAUUUAGACAUGUUGAACUGAGGUGCCCUGCAGAAGUUAAAUGAAAAGACAAAUGUGGAUAGGUUGUUCAGCAAUACAGGUGAAAGGCUACACUUUAAUUUGGCAAAAUAUGUUUAAAUUAGGCCUUAUAAUAGGUAGGUUCCCCAUUAUUUUGUGCCAUUAACUUGGUUUUAGAGAAUACUUUAAAACGCCUUUACUUGUUAAAUCUUUCACAGCCAGCUGAUUGUCUCCCUAACAGAAAAUGAGAAGAAAAAUGUCAAGAAGAGCAAGGAUUAUCUUAACCUUGUACUACACUGAUCAGAACUCUGCUCGAAGUCAAUGAUUGCAAAACUUGUUCAGAAUAACCUGAUGAUUCAGUCUCCCAGAAUGCUAAUCUUCGAAAUCAUUGCAGCAAGAGACAAGAGGUUUAAAGCCACAUUCAAUUGUAAUGAGAUCCGUCAUUAAAGGCAGAUCACAGUCCAUUGACAUGCCUAACUUGUAAUUACUUUUACUUUAAUAUUUUCAUUAGCACAAGAAUUUAGAAUCAUUAUUCUGUCUUUAUAUUUUGCCUAUUAUUUUCAUUUUAUUCUAAUAACAAACUUGUUAAUAAAGCUCUCAGUUUUCUGC